rnacentral:rRNA from 1 species
UACGUAGGUCCCGAGCGUUGUCCGGAUUUAUUGGGCGUAAAGCGAGCGCAGGUGGUUUAUUAAGUCUGGUGUAAAAGGCAGUGGCUCAACCAUUGUAUGCAUUGGAAACUGGUAGACUUGAGUGCAGGAGAGGAGAGUGGAAUUCCAUGUGUAGCGGUGAAAUGCGUAGAUAUAUGGAGGAACACCGAUUGCGAAGGCAGCAUGCCGGCUUCCUACUGACGCUGAAGCACGAAAGCGUGGGGAUCGAACAGG